rnacentral:rRNA from 1 species
CUUCGCCCGUGGCCAUUGCCGCCGGUGGAGUGCGCCUGCCUGGAAUUCUUGUCUAUAUCUCCACGUUGCUUUGGCGGGUCGUCUUAGGACCGCUGGGGGUGCUGCCCCUGGCGUAUGCCCGCCAAAAGCCUCAAUUAAUCCGUGUCAAACGUGUUGUCUUAAGUGUCAAGGAAUAAAUACAAAACUUUCAACAACGGAUCUCUUGGUUCUGGCAUCGAUGAAGAACGCAGCGAAAUGCGAUAAGUAAUGCGAAUUGCAGAAUUCCGUGAGUCAUCGAAUCUUUGAACGCACAUUGCGCCCCCUGGUAUUCCGGAGGGCAUGCCUGUCCGAGCGUCAUUAGUCCAAUCUCAAGCCCAGCUUGUCGUUGGGUCUUACCGCCUAAGCGGUUGACCCGAAAGUUAAUGACGGGUCUCGUAAACCGUUGAUGCAGCGAGCUUUACAGCACGCAUCUCCGGACUUUCCGGGCCCGCCUCAACCAACAUCUUAGGUUGACCUCGGAUCAGACAGGGUUACCCGCUGAACUUAAGCAUAUCAAUAAGCGGAGGAAAAGAAACCAACAGGGAUUGCCUCAGUAACGGCGAGUGAAGCGGCAACAGCUCAAAUUUGAAAUCUGAUCCCGUUAAGGGUCCGAGUUGUAAUUUGUAGAGGAAACUUUGGGCAAGGCUAUGGCCUAAUUUGCUUGGAACAGCAGGUCACAGAGGGUGAGAGUCCCGUUCGGGGCCGCAUGCCGCGCCUAUGUAAAGUUCCUUCGACGAGUCGAGUUGUUUGGGAAUGCAGCUCUAAAUGGGUGGUAAAUUUCAUCUAAAGCUAAAUAUUGGCCAGAGACCGAUAGCGCACAAGUAGAGUGAUCG